GAUGAAGAACGUAGCGAAAUGCGAUAAGUAAUGUGAAUUGCAGAAUUCCGUGAAUCAUCGAAUCUUUGAACGCACAUUGCGCCCCCUGGUAUUCCGGGGGGCAUGCCUGUCCGAGCGUCAUUACAACCCUCAAGCUCAGCUUGGUAUUGGGCCCCGCCGACCCGGCGGGCCCUAAAGUCAGUGGCGGUGCCGUCCGGCUCCGAGCGUAGUAAUUCUUCUCGCUCUGGAGGUCCGGUCGUGUGCUCGCCAGCAACCCCCAAUUUUUUUCAGGUUGACCUCGGAUCAGGUAGGGAUACCCGCUGAACAUAAGCAUAUCAAUAAGCGGAGGA
rnacentral:misc_RNA from 1 species